UACGGAGGGUGCAAGCGUUAAUCGGAAUUACUGGGCGUAAAGCGCACGUAGGUGGUUUGCUAAGUCAGCUGUGAAAUCCCCGGGCUCAACCUGGGCACUGCAGUUGAAACUGGCAAGCUAGAGUAGGGUAGAGGGGUGUGGAAUUCCAGGUGUAGCGGUGAAAUGCGUAGAUAUCUGGAGGAACAUCAGUGGCGAAGGCGACACCCUGGACUCAUACUGACACCGAGGUGCGAAAGCGUGGGGAGCAAACAGG
rnacentral:rRNA from 1 species